UUGACGUUAGCGACAGAAGAAGCACCGGCUAACUCCGUGCCAGCAGCCGCGGUAAUACGGAGGGUGCGAGCGUUAAUCGGAAUUACUGGGCGUAAAGCGCAUGCAGGUGGUUUGUUAAGUCAGAUGUGAAAGCCCGGGGCUCAACCUCGGAAUAGCAUUUGAAACUGGCAGACUAGAGUACUGUAGAGGGGGGUAGAAUUUCAGGUGUAGCGGUGAAAUGCGUAGAGAUCUGAAGGAAUACCGGUGGCGAAGGCGGCCCCCUGGACAGAUACUGACACUCAGAUGCGAAAGCGUGGGGAGCAAACAGGAUUAGAUACCCUGGUAGUCCACGCCGUAAACGAUGUCUACUUGGAGGUUGUGGCCUUGAGCCGUGGCUUUCGGAGCUAACGCGUUAAGUAGACCGCCUGGGGAGUACGGUCGCAAGAUUAAAACUCAAAUGAAUUGACGGGGGCCCGCACAAGCGGUGGAGCAUGUGGUUUAAUUCGAUGCAACGCGAAGAACCUUACCUACUCUUGACAUCCAGAGAACUUUUCAGAGAUGAAUUGGUGCCUUCGGGAACUCUGAGACAGGUGCUGCAUGGCUGUCGUCAGCUCGUGUUGUGAAAUGUUGGGUUAAGUCCCGCAACGAGCGCAACCCUUAUCCUUGUUUGCCAGCGAGUAAUGUCGGGAACUCCAGGGAGACUGCCGGUGAUAAACCGGAGGAAGGUGGGGACGACGUCAAGUCAUCAUGGCCCUUACGAGUAGGGCUACACACGUGCUACAAUGGCGCAUACAGAGGGCAGCAAGCUAGCGAUAGUGAGCGAAUCCCAAAAAGUGCGUCGUAGUCCGGAUUGGAGUCUGCAACUCGACUCCAUGAAGUCGGAAUCGCUAGUAAUCGUGGAUCAGAAUGCCACGGUGAAUACGUUCCCGGGCCUUGUACACACCGCCCGUCACACCAUGGGAGUGGGCUGCAAAAGAAGUAGGUAGUUUAACCUUCGGGAGGACGCUUACCACUUUGUGGUUCAUGACUGGGGUGAAGUCGUAACAAGGUAGCGCUAGGGGAACCUGGCGCUG
rnacentral:rRNA from 1 species